rnacentral:rRNA from 1 species
UUCUCCUACGGGGCGCAGCAGUGGGGAAUAUUGCACAAUGGGGGAAACCCUGAUGCAGCGACGCCGCGUGAGUGAAGAAGUAAUUCGUUAUGUAAAGCUCUAUCAGCAAGGAAGAAAAUGACGGUACCUGAGUAAGAAGCCCCGGCUAACUACGUGCCAGCAGCCGCGGUAAUACGUAGGUGGCGAGCGUUGUCCGGAUUUACUGGGCGUAAAGGGAGCGUAGGCGGACUUUUAAGUGAGAUGUGAAAUACUCGGGCUCAACUUGAGUGCUGCAUUUUAAACUGGAAGUCUAGAGUGCAGGAGAG